CAGCAGCCACGGUAAUACGAAGGGUGCAAGCGUUACUCGGAAUUACUGGGCGUAAAGCGUGCGUAGGUGGUGGUUUAAGUCCGUUGUGAAAGCCCUGGGCUCAACCUGGGAAUUGCAGUGGAUACUGGGUCACUAGAGUGUGGUAGAGGAUAGUGGAAUUUCCGGUGUAGCAGUGAAAUGCGUAGAGAUCGGAAGGAACAUCUGUGGCGAAGGCGACUAUCUGGGCCAACACUGACACUGAGGCACGAAAGCGUGGGGAGCAAACAGGAUUAGAUACCCGGGUAGUCCCUGUCUCUUAUAA
rnacentral:rRNA from 1 species